rnacentral:piRNA from 1 species
UUAAAAGGUCUAUGUGUGUAAGUGUGCGU